rnacentral:rRNA from 1 species
UACAGAGGUGGCAAGCGUUGUUCGGAAUUACUGGGCGUAAAGGGCGCGUAGGCGGCCUUCUAAGUCAGACGUGAAAUCCCCCGGCUUAACCUGGGAACUGCGUCUGAUACUGGGAGGCUUGAGUAUGGGAGAGGGAUGUAGAAUUCCAGGUGUAGCGGUGAAAUGCGUAGAUAUCUGGAGGAAUACCGGUGGCGAAGGCGGCAUCCUGGACCAUUACUGACGCUGAGACGCGAAAGCGUGGGGAGCGAACAGG